rnacentral:lncRNA from 1 species
CGCCUGCUCCAACUGAUACCUCAGCAAAUCUAUUUCCCCCUUCACAUCUGUAAGCUCCAAUGCCGAAGCACCAGUAAUGAAACCGAUGGAGCUAGCUAGAUAAUGCCCCACCUGUGCAAAAUUUUAAUAAACAUCAAAAUAUCGUAGGUUGUAGGGGGUUAUAAAGAAGAUGCCCAAGGACUUCCCACCUGGACGAGAGAUCUGAG